rnacentral:rRNA from 1 species
GUGGGGAAUAUUGGACAAUGGGGGGAACCCUGAUCCAGCCAUGCCGCGUGUGUGAAGAAGGCCUUUUGGUUGUAAAGCACUUUAAGCGAGGAGGAGGCUACCGAGAUUAAUACUCUUGGAUAGUGGACGUUACUCGCAGAAUAAGCACCGGCUAACUCUGUGCCAGCAGCCGCGGUAAUACAGAGGGUGCAAGCGUUAAUCGGAUUUACUGGGCGUAAAGCGCGCGUAGGUGGCCAAUUAAGUCAAAUGUGAAAUCCCCGAGCUUAACUUGGGAAUUGCAUUCGAAACUGGUUGGCUAGAGUAUGGGAGAGGAUGGUAGAAUUCCAGGUGUAGCGGUGAAAUGCGUAGAGAUCUGGAGGAAUACCGAUGGCGAAGGCAGCCAUCUGGCCUAAUACUGACACUGAGGUGCGAAAGCAUGGGGAGCAAACAGGAUUAGAAACCCCGGUAGUCC